rnacentral:rRNA from 1 species
CGCGGCCUAUCAGCUUGUUGGUGAGGUAACGGCUCACCAAGGCAUCGACGGGUAGCUGGUCUGAGAGGAUGAUCAGCCACACUGGGACUGAGACACGGCCCAGACUCCUACGGGAGGCAGCAGUGGGGAAUAUUGCACAAUGGGCGCAAGCCUGAUGCAGCAACGCCGCGUGCGGGAUGAAGGCCCUAGGGUUGUAAACCGCUUUCAGCAGGGAAGAAAAUGACGGUACCUGCAGAAGAAGGUGCGGCCAACUACGUGCCAGCAGCCGCGGUGACACGUAGGCACCAAGCGUUGUCCGGAUUUAUUGGGCGUAAAGAGCUCGUAGGCGGUUCAGUUAGUCGGGUGUGAAAACUCUGGGCUCAACCCAGAGACGCCACCCGAUACUGCUGUGACUAGAGUACGGUAGGGGAGUGGGGAAUUCCUGGUGUAGCGGUGAAAUGCGCAGAUAUCAGGAGGAACACCAGUGGCGAAGGCGCCACUCUGGGCCGUAACUGACGCUGAGGAGCGAAAGCAUGGGUAGCAAACAGGAUUAGAUACCCUGGUAGUCCAUGCCGUAAACGUUGGGCACUAGGUGUGGGUCUCAACCAACGAGAUCCGCGCCGUCGCUAACGCAGUAAGUGCCCCGCCUGGGGAGUACGG